AGAGUUUGAUCCUGGCUCAGAAUCAACGCUGGCGGCGUGCCUAACACAUGCAAGUCGAACGCGAAAGUCCCGCAAGGGAUUAGUAGAGUGGCAAACGGGUGAGUAACACGUGGGUGACCUGCCUUCGAGCGGGGGAUAACGUUCCGAAAGGAACGCUAAUACCGCAUAACAUCCUGGUCUUUUAAGAGAUGGUGAUCAAAGCCGGGGAUUCGCAAGAACCUGGCACUUGAAGAGGGGCCCGCGCCUGAUUAGCUAGUUGGUGGGGUAAUGGCCUACCAAGGCAACGAUCAGUAUCCGGCCUGAGAGGGCGGACGGACACACUGGGACUGAGACACGGCCCAGNACUCCUACGGGAGGCAGCAGUGGGGAAUUGUUCGCAAUGGGCGCAAGCCUGACGACGCAACGCCGCGUGGAGGAUGAAGACCUUCGGGUCGUAAACUCCUUUCGAUCGAGACGAAUGUUUUUCGGGUGAACAAUCCGGAAAAGUGACGGUACCGAGAGAAGAAGCCCCGGCUAACUCUGUGCCAGCAGCCGCGGUAAUACAGGGGGGGCAAGCGUUGUUCGGAAUUACUGGGCGUAAAGGGCUCGUAGGUGGCCAACUAAGUCAGACGUGAAAUCCCUCAGCUUAACUGGGGAACUGCGUCUGAUACUGGAUGGCUUGAGUUUGGGAGAGGGAUGCGGAAUUCCAGGUGUAGCGGUGAAAUGCGUA
rnacentral:rRNA from 1 species